rnacentral:rRNA from 1 species
GACGAACGCUGGCGGCGUGCCUAAUACAUGCAAGUCGAACGCACAGUUUAUACCGUAGCUUGCUACACCAUAGACUGUGAGUUGCGAACGGGUGAGUAACGCGUAGGUAACCUGCCUGGUAGCGGGGGAUAACUAUUGGAAACGAUAGCUAAUACCGCAUAAUAUUGAUUAUUGCAUGAUAAUUGAUUGAAAGAUGCUAUUGCAUCACUACCAGAUGGACCUGCGUUGUAUUAGCUAGUAGGUGAGGUAACGGCUCACCUAGGCGACGAUACAUAGCCGACCUGAGAGGGUGAUCGGCCACACUGGGACUGAGACACGGCCCAGACUCCUACGGGAGGCAGCAGUAGGGAAUCUUCGGCAAUGGACGAAAGUCUGACCGAGCAACGCCGCGUGAGUGAAGAAGGGUGUCGGAUCGUAAAGCUCUGUUGUAAGAGAAGAACGGGUGUGAGAGUGGAAAGUUCACACUGUGACGGUAGCUUACCAGAAAGGGACGGCUAACUACGUG